GGAGAAUGAAGACUCACCAAAAGCUUCAGGACAGAUCUUCACCAUCACUGAUAUCAGACCUGAACACAGAGGGAGUUAUUACUGUGAAGCCCAGAACAGAAGAGGACGUCAUAACUCCACCUUACACCUGGUUGGUGUCACAGGUUCAGUGAAAUCAGCAGUAGCUGGGUCAUUAACAGUUUUUUUCCUGGUCAUCAUUUUCCUGUCUGUCUUCCUGCUGAUUAGAAGAAAGAGAUCCUGGAAACAAACCUCAGGGUCCAGACAAAGAUCAAACAACAAAGCAGAGUCAAGUGGGGGUCCAGAAAAUGACAACCCUGCAGCUACAACACAGAGAAUAUCAGCAGAGCAGCAGGAUGAAGUUUGUUAUGCCACCGUAAGUGUCUCUAAGAACCAAGAAGAUCCUCUCUACUCCAGCAUCACGCUAGCUCAAUACAACAAACAGAAGAAGAAGACAGAGAAGGAGGGAGAUGAUGUUGUGUACACAGCUAUCCAGUUUACUGCUUCAGGAAUAGGACGUGAAGCUGAGGAGGAUGUGUCUGUGCUGUACAGCACAGUGAAGAGCAAACGCAGAAAAUGAACACAACACAAACCUGUGUCUCCAUCUGAAGUUUCCAUGAAGUUUGUCAAAAAAUUGACAAUGUGCUACUAUAUUAUAGACGAUCAUUUCAGGAGUUAAUCAACAACUCUGCUCUUGAAAUGAAAGCACUGAUAUGUAAAUCAUCGUCAGGCGCAAAGAACAGUUUCGUAACAAAGAGACACACACCCUGGAGAGAAGGGUUUAUAAGAGCCUGGUCAGUCUCAAAUUGUUCUCAGUCAUCUCAGUUUUUGUUUUCCACCUGUCGGCGUGUUUAAGUUUUAUUUUCAUUCUUGCCACAUUUAACACACGACGCAAGCGGAAUUUUAUUUGAACCGUCAAGACAGUCACACAUUGAUAUUUUUGUAGACUUUUUUUUUUUUUCCUAUUUCAUCAUCAACAACCACUUUUUACCACAUCAAACUCUGCCUCAUGGCAACUUUAUGAAGGCCACCUUGUCUGCGUAACACUGAGUGUGACCAACACUGUGGUCCAGACCUGGAUGACUGUCCAUCAAACUGCUCUCAACACUUCGGUACUGCUGGUUUCCCCCGAUGAUACCACUGUGGAAGGUCGAGCUCACCACGACAGUGUUUGGUCGUCGAUCCAGUUAUUCGGAGCAGCAUCCAAGGAGAUCCCAUAAGUAGACUAUCACCUUCAUAUUUGAGCAGUUGAUAUGUGUGAUAAGACUAAACAAACCUUAAACAAAUCUAAGUCUUUAAUUUUGAUUCAUUCUAAGUGUACUUUACAUUUGUAAGUGGUGCCCCCUUUUGACGAGUGCAGUUAUUAGACUUAAAUGUUUAAUAACUUAAUUCCCCUACAACAUUAGAAAAAAAAGAUUUAUGAAAGAAAAGAGAAAGGGAAGAAGAAAGAGUGAUCAAAGGGGACGACUGAGGACACUGACACUUGAAUUUGUGGGAGAGAGAUUCAUAUGUGGUUAGUGUGUGAGAACCAAACUCUGUCACAUCGCGGUGAGGUUAAGUUGGGCUUUUGUCCUCUCUCCAUGUUUUGUCUCAUCACUUCCUGUUUUAUUUUGAAGAGUAACUCUCCUCUCAUUUUAGGUCGCUUGCACUUCCUCGUGUGUCAUCGGUCUGAUUGUCUUCCCUGAUUCCCGAUUACUUCCACCUGUUCCCCAUUAUCUCCAUGUGUUCAAAUAGUCUGCGUCUCCAUUUGUCUUGUGCCAGAGUGUUCACCUUUGUCGUAGUGUGUUCACCACAGCCUUGACCAUGAUUGUUAUUUGGAUUUUGUUCUGUUUCCUCCAGAGAGAGUUUUUCAUUAGUAAGUUCUUACCAUACUGAAUUUCCUCUGUUUAUGACUUUGGUCUUUUGUGUUUUCCUCCUUUGGUGGAGUGAUUUUUAGUUUUGUCUUUUCUUGAAAGAAGUAUUUCAGAGGCCGUUUUUUUCAGAGCCUACUUUGUUUUCAUUGUCUUGGAUUUUUGAACCUGAGCUUUCUUAAUAAAGACUGUUAUGGAGAAAACUAAACCCUUGCAUCUGCAUCCUGAGUCCUUGUC